rnacentral:rRNA from 1 species
UACGAAGGGGGCUAGCGUUGCUCGGAAUCACUGGGCGUAAAGGGUGCGUAGGCGGGUCUUUAAGUCGGGGGUGAAAUCCUGGAGCUCAACUCCAGAACUGCCUUCGAACUGACUGAGCUCGAGUCCGGGAGAGGUGAGUGGAACUGCGAGUGUAGAGGUGAAAUUCGUAGAUAUUCGCAAGAACACCAGUGGCGAAGGCGGCUCACUGGCCCGGUACUGACGCUGAGGUGCGAAAGCGUGGGGAGCAAACAGG